rnacentral:misc_RNA from 1 species
GGUGAUGGCCAUAAUGCCAAUCUCAAAUUUGGAUCAUAAGAAAGGAUGCUGCCAGAGCUUUUGGCAAUCCUCAUUGCAGCAAGAUGAGCUGACCUGCAUGGUUCCGCAAUCAAACUAAUAGAACCAUAAUGAAAGAUCCUUGCCUGCUUGAGGAGAUUCAUAUCUAGUUCUGACUCAUGAAGAAGCAUGUCUGCACUGGGAUGACGAAAAAAUAAGAAUUCACGUUCACCAUCAGCUCUGAGAGUAACAAAUGCUAGUGCAGUCCUUGCGCUGGGAUCAAAUCGUACACCAGAAUGAUUGACAUUGUUUUGUUUUAAAAUGUCAGCCAACAUAUAGCCAAAAUCAUCAUCACCUAGCUUGCCUAUAAAAGCUGAUGAACCACCUAGUCUUGAUAUGCAAACAGCCACAUUAGCAGGUGCACCCCCAGGAGCCUUCUUGAAAGCAGGUGCUUC